UCAAUCGAGAAAGUAACAUGCAUUGCCUGUUUCUCAACUUAUUUUGCCAAAGUUGCUAGUUCAGUUUCUAGCACUUGUCAAUUCGUUUAAAUUUAACAUGAGUUUUCCUCUCACAUGUGGCCCAUAAAGUGAAGAGUUGACAGACGAUACCUUCAGAAGCGAGACGAGAAGCGGGCAGAAUCAGGUUAGCAUAUGAAUUCAAAGUAUCUUGAUUUAGAGGUAUUGGAGGGUUGUAGGUCUUUUGUGUUGCUUAUGAAACAAGGCCCAUUUCAUUGACUGGGGCCGGGGCAUUGAUGUAAAUCUCUUCUCGGCUGGCACGGAGUUCCUUGGGGAUUGUCAUACCUCAGGGUUGAGUUGUAUCGAAAUGCAAGAAGAGAGAAGCUGGACAUAUCAAGUCGACACUUUUGGUCUGUGCGUGGUUGCACACAUGAUGCUGCACGGGAAAGAGAUGAGCAUCAGUAAGGUGCCCGCGCUGGAGGAUGAUGGCUAUGCGGACGGUGGUAAGUUUCCCUUUCCAUCGCAUCCCAACUUCAACGGACGGUGGUAAGUUUCCCUUUCCAUCGCAUCCCAACUUCAACGGACGGUGGUAAGUUUCCCUUUCCAUCGCAUCCCAACUUCGCAAGCCACCUAAUAAGCACAUACCCAGUAUAGCACGUAACACGGAAAAAAAUGCAAAAAUAAUAAUAUGAAAAUGGACGUGAACAUGGAAUGACGCCUAGACCAGCCACAGACCACAAUUCUAUUCUCCAUGAGUUUUCCAGCAAAAAAAAAAUACC